rnacentral:rRNA from 1 species
UGAGGAAUAUUGGGCAAUGCCCGCAAGGGUGACCCAGCAACGCCGCGUGGAGGAUGAAUGUCGUAAGAUUGUAAACUCCUGUUAGAGGGGAAGAAUAGUACCGGUUGGACCGGUAUAUGACUGUACCCUCAGAGAAAGCCCCGGCUAACUACGUGCCAGCAGCCGCGGUAAUACGUAGGGGGCAAGCGUUGUCCGGAUUUACUGGGUGUAAAGGGCGCGCAGGCGGGAUAAAAAGUCAGUGGUGAAAUCCUACAGCUUAACUGGAGAACUGCCUUUGAUACUUUUAUUCUUGAGUGCGGGAGAGAGAGACGGAAUUCCAGGUGUAGUGGUGAAAUACGUAGAUAUCUGGAAGAACACCAGUUGCGAAGGCGGUCUCUUGGUCCGACACUGACGCCGAGGCGCGAAAGCGUGGGGAGCAAACA